AUAAACAUGUAGGGGGACCGGUGUUGCCGGUUGAGAGAGUAUCCGUGAAGAUGCUGACCCUUAGAACCUGAUCUGGUUAGAACCAGCGUAGGGAACAUAUAAGAUAACUGA
rnacentral:ncRNA from 2 species